rnacentral:rRNA from 1 species
AGUGAACGCUGGCGGUAGGCCUAACACAUGCCAGUCGAACGGCAGCACAGAAAGAGCUUGCUCUUACGGGUGGCGAGUGGCGGACGGGUGAGGAAUACAUCGGAAUCUACUUUUUCGUGGGGGAUAACGUAGGGAAACUUACGCUAAUACCGCAUACGACCUACGGGUGAAAGCAGGGGAUCUUCGGACCUUGCGCGAUUGAAUGAGCCGAUGUCGGAUUAGCUAGUUGGCGGGGUAAAGGCCCACCAAGGCGACGAUCCGUAGCUGGUCUGAGAGGAUGAUCAGCCACACUGGAACUGAGACACGGUCCAGACUCCUACGGGAGGCAGCAGUGGGGAAUAUUGGACAAUGGGCGCAAGCCUGAUCCAGCCAUACCGCGUGGGUGAAGAAGGCCUUCGGGUUGUAAAGCCCUUUUGUUGGGAAAGAAAAGCAGCAGGUUAAUACCCCGCUGUUCUGACGGUACCCAAAGAAUAAGCACCGGCUAACUUCGUG